rnacentral:rRNA from 1 species
UACAGAGGAUGCAAGCGUUAUCCGGAAUGAUUGGGCGUAAAGCGUCUGUAGGUGGCUUUUUAAGUCCGCCGUCAAAUCCCAGGGCUCAACUCUGGACAGGCGGUGGAAACUACCAAGCUGGAGUACGGUAGGGGCAGAGGGAAUUUCCGGUGGAGCGGUGGAAAUGCGUAGAGAUCGGAAAGAACACCAAUGGCGAAAGCGGCUUCCUGGUCCAGCACCGACGUUCAGGCACGAAAGCGUGGGGAGCAAACAGGG